rnacentral:rRNA from 1 species
UAGGGAAUCUUCGGCAAUGGACGAAAGUCUGACCGAGCAACGCCGCGUGAGUGAAGAAGGUUUUCGGAUCGUAAAACUCUGUUGUUAGCGAAGAACAAGGACGUUAGUAACUGAACGUCACCUGACGGUAUCUAACCAGAAAGCCACGGCUAACUACGUGCCAGCAGCCGCGGUAAUACGUAGGUGGCAAGCGUUGUCCGGAUUUAUUGGGCGUAAAGCGCGCGCAGGCGGUUUCUUAAGUCUGAUGUGAAAGCCCCCGGCUCAACCGGGGAGGCUCAUUGGAAACUGGGAGACUUGAGUACAGAAGAGGAGAGUGGAAUUCCAUGUGUAGCGGUGAAAUGCGUAGAUAUAUGGAGGAAUACCAGUGGCGAAGGCGGCUCUCUGGUCUGUAACUGACGCUGAGGCUCGAAAGCGUGGGGAGCAAACAGG